rnacentral:rRNA from 1 species
AAGUUACGUAUUGCUGGUGCUGUUCGGAUUCUAUCGUGUUUCCUAAGAGUUUGAUCCUGGCUCAGAUUGAACGCUGGCGGCAUGCUUUACACAUGCAAGUCGAACGGCAGCACGGGGGCAACCCUGGUGGCGAGUGGCGAACGGGUGAGUAAUACAUCGGAACGUGCCCAGUAAUGGGGAUAGCCCGGCGAAAGCCGGAUUAAUACCGCAUACGCCCUGAGGGGGAAAGCGGGGGACCGAAAGGCCUCGCGUUAUUGGAGCGGCCGAUGGCUGAUUAGCUAGUUGGUAGGGUAAAGGCCUACCAAGGCGACGAUCAGUAGCUGGUCUGAGAGGACGACCAGCCACACUGGGACUGAGACACGGCCCAGACUCCUACGGGAGGCAGCAGUGGGGAAUUUUGGACAAUGGGCGAAAGCCUGAUCCAGCAAUGCCGCGUGUGCGAAGAAGGCCUUCGGGUUGUAAAGCACUUUUACCAGGAACGAAAAGUCUGGCUCUAAUAAAGUCGGACGAUGACGGUACCUGGAGAAUAAGCACCGGCUAACUACGUGCCAGCAGCCGCGGUAAUACGUAGGGUGCAAGCGUUAAUCGGAAUUACUGGGCGUAAAGCGUGCGCAGGCGGUUGUGUAAGACAGAUGUGAAAUCCCCGGGCUUAACCUGGGAAUUGCAUUUGUGACUGCACGACUAGAGUGUGUCAGAGGGGGGUGGAAUUCCACGUGUAGCAGUGAAAUGCGUAGAUAUGUGGAGGAACACCAAUGGCGAAGGCAGCCCCCUGGGAUAACACUGACGCUCAUGCACGAAAGCGUGGGGAGCAAACAGGAUUAGAUACCCUGGUAGUCCACGCCCUAAACGAUGUCAACUAGUUGUUGGGGAUUUAUUUCCUUGGUAACGUAGCUAACGCGUGAAGUUGACCGCCUGGGGAGUACGGCCGCAAGGUUAAAACUCAAAGGAAUUGACGGGACCCGCACAAGCGGUGGAUGAUGUGGAUUAAUUCGAUGCAACGCGAAAAACCUUACCUACCCUUGACAUGGCAGGAACUUUCCAGAGAUGGAUUGGUGCUCGAAAGAGAACCUGCACACAGGUGCUGCAUGGCUGUCGUCAGCUCGUGUCGUGAGAUGUUGGGUUAAGUCCCGCAACGAGCGCAACCCUUGUCAUUAGUUGCUACGAAAGGGCACUCUAAUGAGACUGCCGGUGACAAACCGGAGGAAGGUGGGGAUGACGUCAAGUCCUCAUGGCCCUUAUGGGUAGGGCUUCACACGUCAUACAAUGGUCGGUACAGAGGGUUGCUAAGCCGCGAGGUGGAGCCAAUCCCAGAAAACCGAUCGUAGUCCGGAUUGCAGUCUGCAACUCGACUGCAUGAAGUCGGAAUCGCUAGUAAUCGCGGAUCAGCAUGCCGCGGUGAAUACGUUCCCGGGUCUUGUACACACCGCCCGUCACACCAUGGGAGUGGGUUCCACCAGAAGUAGUUAGCCUAACCGCAAGGGGGGCGAUUACCACGGUGGGAUUCAUGACUGGGGUGAAGUCGUAACAAGGUAGCCGUAUCGGAAGGUGCGGCUGGAUCACCUCCUUUCAAAGAGAAAGAAGAUGGAAAUCCUUGAAUUAUGGAAGCGUUAGCGUUCACACUUAUCGGUUUGUUUUAAUCGCAAAAGAAGAUUGAAGUAAUGAGUAAAUUAAUAGGUUGGAAGUGGGUGUUUGGUUUAAGAGCCAAACGCGAACGUUCAACCCAUGGGGCCUGUGUGGUGUUUGAAAAACACAGCAAAGGUCAAAGGCCCUGAGAUUUAAACCAAGUUUUAGGGUCUGUAGCUCAGUUGGUUAGAGCACCGUCUUGAUAAGGCGGGGGUCGAUGGUUCGAGUCCAUCCAGACCCACCAUGAUGACGUUUUGAAAAGUCCCUGAGAAUGGGUCUGAAGAUCAAGUUGGGGGUAUAGCUCAGUUGGGAGAGCACCUGCUUUGCAAGCAGGGGGUCAUCGGUUCGAUCCCGUUUACCUCCACCACUUUUCUUGACCAGUUAUUUUGGUUACUUCAACAAUCUGAAAGCGAAUUAAAACAAGAUCCUCGUCUUCAAGAUCUUCAUCUUGAUGGUGAUUAUGGGCUGUUUAGUGUUGAUAGUUGAUCUGUAGCUAAAUGAAUGAAUACUGGUCGCAGUGUUUAUUCAUUUGGCUGUAGAGCUGGUGAAUCUCUCAGAGAUUUGCCCAAUGUUCUUUAACAAUUUGAAAUGAUGAGAUAUCGAGAUUGACUCGAUUCUAGCGAAAGCUAGGAUUGAUCAACUUGAUUGAUGCGAUUGCAUCAUCGUUCUUCUCAAGAAACAGAAAUUCAAAUCAACGUUGCUGGCAACAGUGGCUUUGAGAUGCAGAUCUGACCUUGAAUAGAAUAAACGGCACAAAACUUCGUGGAAAUGUCAGUUUCCGGUGAUAAGGAUCUUUGAGGAGUCAUCCUCAAUAAGAGAUCAAACUCACCAAAUAGAGAAUCCUUUGUAGUGGUGCGUGUGGUGUUGAUUCGAAAGAAUUGGCAGUGCCCAACGCUAUAGAGUCAAGCGAAUAAGUGCACAUGGUGGAUGCCUUGGCGAUCAUAGGCGAUGAAGGACGUUGUAGCCUGCGAAAAGCUUCGGGGAGUCGGCAAACAGACUUUGAUCCGGAGAUGUCCGAAUGGGGAACCCACCUCUUAUAGAGGUAUCCCACACUGAAUACAUAGGUGUGUGGAAGCGAACCUGGAGAACUGAAACAUCUAAGUACCCAGAGGAAAAGAAAUCAACCGAGAUUCCGAAAGUAGCGGCGAGCGAAAUCGGAAGAGCCGUCGUAAUUUAGCAUCUUCGUUAAUAAAACAGUCUGGAAAGUCUGGCCAUAGUAGGUGAUAGCCCUGUAUAUGAAAACGUUGGUGUGGAACUAAGUACGAGACAAGUAGGGCGGGGCACGAGAAACCCUGUCUGAAUAUGGGGGACCAUCCUCCAAGGCUAAAUACUCAUGAUCGACCGAUAGUGAACUAGUACCGUGAGGGAAAGGCGAAAAGAACCCCGGGGGGAGUGAAAUAGAUCCUGAAACCGUGUGCAUACAAACAGUAGGAGCGGGCUUGUUCCGUGACUGCGUACCUUUGUAUAAUGGGUCAGCGACUUACAUUCAGUGGCAAGCUUAACCGAGUAGGGAAGGCGUAGGGAAACCGAGUCCGAAUAGGGCGUCUAGUCGCUGGGUGUAGACCCGAAACCAAGUGAUCUAUCCAUGGCCAGGUUGAAGGUUGGGUAACACCAACUGGAGGACCGAACCCACUAACGUUGAAAAGUUAGGGAUGAGCUGUGGAUAGGGGUGAAAGGCUAAACAAACUUGAGAUAGCUGGUUCUCCCCGAAAACUAUUUAGGUAGUGCCUCGAGUCUCACUGUAGGGGGUAGAGCACUGUUAUGGCUAGGGGGUCAUCGCGACUUACCAAACCAUGGCAAACUCCGAAUACCUACAAGUGCAAUCUCGGGAGACAGACAUCGGGUGCUAACGUCCGGUGUCAAGAGGGAAACAACCCAGACCGCCAGCUAAGGUCCCUAAUAUCUGCUAAGUGGAAAACGAGGUGGGAAGGCUAAAACAGUCAGGAGGUUGGCUUAGAAGCAGCCAUCCUUUAAAGAAAGCGUAAUAGCUCACUGAUCGAGUCGUCCUGCGCGGAAGAUGUAACGGGGCUAAGCAGAUAACCGAAGCUGCGGAUGCGCCUCUGGCGCAUGGUAGGGAGCGUUCUGUAAGCCUGUGAAGGUGUGUUGUAAAGCAUGCUGGAGGUAUCAGAAGUGCGAAUGCUGACAUGAGUAGCGAUAAAGGGAGKAAAARSCCCCCGCCGUAAGCCCCAAGGUUUCCUACGCAACGUUCAUCGGCGUAGGGUUAGUCGGCCCCUAAGGCGAGGCAGAAAUGCGUAGUCGAUGGGAAUCAGGUUAAUAUUCCUGAACCGACGUGUAAUGCGAUGGGGGACGGAUCGUGGAAGGUAGUCCGGGUGUUGGAUAUCCCGGUCCCUGCACAAUAGAGGACAGUUAGGCAAAUCCGGCUGUCAUAUACUCAAGGGUGUGGGGCGAAGUAGCUACGGCUACGAAGCUAUUGGAAGUGGUCCCAAGAAAAGCCUCUAAGCUUCAGUUACACGUUGACCGUACCGCAAACCGACACAGGUGGGCGGGAUGAGUAUUCUAAGGCGCUUGAGAGAACUCAGGAGAAGGAACUCGGCAAAUUGGUACCGUAACUUCGGGAGAAGGUACGCCUUUGUAGUUUGACCAUGAACAGUGGAAGGACGAAGAGGUUGCAAUAAAAUGGUGGCUGCGACUGUUUAAUAAAAACACAGCACUCUGCAAACACGAAAGUGGACGUAUAGGGUGUGACGCCUGCCCGGUGCUGGAAGAUUAAAUGAUGGGGUGCAAGCUCUUGACUGAAGUCCCAGUAAACGGCGGCCGUAACUAUAACGGUCCUAAGGUAGCGAAAUUCCUUGUCGGGUAAGUUCCGACCUGCACGAAUGGCGUAACGAUGGCCACACUGUCUCCUCCUGAGACUCAGCGAAGUUGAAGUGUUUGUGAUGAUGCAAUCUCCCCGCGGCUAGACGGAAAGACCCCAUGAACCUUUACUGUAGCUUUGCAUUGGACUUUGAACCGGUUUGUGUAGGAUAGGUGGGAGGCUUUGAAGUGGGAACGCCAGUUCUCAUGGAGCCAUCCUUGAAAUACCACCCUGAUCUGUUUGAGGUUCUAACCUAGACCCGUUAUCCGGGUCGGGGACCGUGCAUGGUGGGCAGUUUWACUGGGGCGGUUAGGGAAACACGAUAGAAUCCGAAAUGCA